GCAGCACCCGGGAAGCCCUUCAGAGCGCCUUCCCCUGCGGGCCGCGCAGCGGUGGCAGCAGCAGAGGCGGCGGCGCCUGAGCCUGAGCGGGGAUGUAGAGUAGGAGGAGGCGGCGGCGGCGGCGAGAACAGGGCCGGAGCCGAGGGAGAAGAGCAGCAGGACCUUGUUCCCCGAAGCGAGGCCCCGAGUGCCAGCCCUGCUCAGCCCGUGCCCAGCCAUGCGUGCCGCCUGCGGAGUCCAGGCGGCUUACGCUGCGCCCUCCGCCAGCCAGUCGCUCUUCGCUUGGCUGGGGGUGAUUAGUUGCUUUUUGUUGUUUUUUAAUGUGGGCCAGGGGAGGGGGAGGAGGAGCAGGUGCUGCAGGCUCCACCCCCACCUCCCCGCCUCUGGCCAGCUGGGGCGACGUGACUUCGGCUGCGUUGCCUCCGGCACGGCGCGCGCCGGCGCCGCGGCUAGAGCGCGGCUGGAGGGGAGCACACCGCGGAGGCAGUGCCCAGAGAGGUGCGCAUCUCUCCGCCCCGCCCCUCCCCCUCGGCCUCGUGGCGGCGGCGGCGGUGGCAGCAGCAGUAGCGGUGCUGGCGGCUUGGAGAACUGGAGAGCCGGGCAGCCCAGAUCUGAGUCGAGUCUGAGACCUACACCACAGCUCACAGCAACACGGAAUCCUUAACCCACUGAGCUAGGCCAGGGAUCGAACUUGCGUCCUCAUGCAUACGAGUCAGAUUCAUUUCCACUGAGCCACGACAGGAACUCCCUAAAUAUAUUUGUUAAUAAACCAAUGGUUCUCCAGACUUUUCAGCAUACUGAGUGCUAAAGCAAACAAGAGGUAAUUGCUCCUUAUUUUUAGAACAGUAGCUUUGCACUAUAUGUAGCUGUUGCAGAUUACAUAUUUAAAUUAUAUUGCAUGUCUUUUUUGGUAAUAGAUUUUGUUUUAUGAAUUUGUGUCAAAACAGAAAUAAUACUUUGAAAUAAAUUUGCUUUUUAAUCCUUCGUCUGUGAAUACCUAAAUUUUGCAGUGAAGAAUUUAAAAAGCUGCAAGGAUAUUCCUAUUUGAAAUGUAAAAUAAGUGACUUAGAUUCAAUAAUUAGGAAUUUUCUUGGCACUGUUAAACUUCAAUUUUUAAUGCUAUUUUAUUCUUGCAGAUUCUUCUCAAAAUAUGUUGGUGGCUUGAGAGAUGUCAUGACCAAGUGGUGAUCUAUACAGAAGGUAGGUUAGAAAGCUUUAACUCCUAUGUCCAUGAAUUAGCCAACUUUUUCCCCUUUUUUUUCAAGUUUUUUUAAAGUAUAAUUGACUUAGAAGUUGGUGAUAAUUUCUGCUCUACAGCAAAGUGAUUCAGUUACAGAUUCUUUUCCCACAGAGAUGAUCCCAGAAUAUUGGGUAGAGUUCCCUGUGCUAUACAACAGGUCCCCGUUGGCCAAUCAUUCCAUAUUCCUCAGUGUAAUUAGCAAACUUUUAUAAAACACUUUUCAUCAGGGAAUAGAAUAUUGGGAAUGUGGUCUGACUUCACCCCUCAGUCUUGCCUGCAAGACUUUUCAUUGCCAUUGGAGAAACACCUCAAGAUAUGUGGAGGCUGUCAGAGGGGAGAAGUGCAAGGGGUUCCAGACAACCAUAGCACAGGGGACCAGCCCUCCGUGGGGAAGUAGGGAGUAAGAAGUGUUUAGGAAAAAGGCUCAAGCAUGGGGGUAUUCUCCUUGGGGUGCCAGAGUCAGCUGAUUAAGAUGAGAUCAUUCCCACGUCCAUGUUCUCCAGCCAAAAUCCAGCAGGAACACACCUGAGAACAAGUGGAAUCUAGAACAAGUUGGGUUUCUUCCUCAUUGCCGUGAGUGUCUCAGGAGGAGGAUGUUAGAAGAAAGCUACUGCAGGAUUUGGGCUUAGGUCGGGUGAUUUGAGGGAGAGCCUGAAAGUGGUGGGUCAUUUAGAUCAGAUGCUGAAAGCCAGGGCAAUUCUGUGAUUCAUCUCUCAAUGAAUCUUACUGACAGGAGGGAAGAUGAUGGGUAGGAAAGAGCCGUUCCUGGAAACAAAGUAGCCGUCAUUCAUUUUAACCAAAAGAAUGGAGUGUUUGGGGGGUGGCACAGUGACCUUUUUUUUUUUUUUUUUUUCCUGUACUUAGAAAACAAUUAUGAAUUGCCAUCAUUUUGUCUCACUUUAUCAUGCUCUCCAAGUAAUCUUACUUGGUGUAGGUAUUCUCUGAUACUUCUUGGUAUUUAUGUCCAGGCUCACUUGUGGAUAGCAGCAAGGCCAUUGUUUUUGUUUUUGUUUUCCCCUCACAAGGAACAUGAAGCAUGAGGGAGGCUUUUAGCUUGAAUUGGAAGACAUCCUUCUAGAAUGUUAGCAAUCAGUGAAAAAGUACAGGUCUUCUUGGCACACCCACUCCAUGUAUGAAGAAGAAACGUGAACAGAAGAAGCACAUUCAGCUCAUUGCUGGCUUGCAUGUAUUUUCUAAGAUUUGUUUAAAUGCCUCUACUCUCAAGUUUUAUAUUUGUUGUAUUUUGAUGUACUAUUCAUAAAUGUUAAAAACACCAGUCAGAUUUCAGUUCAUCCAUCCUCCCGUAAGGAUUGUCUCAGCCUGGAGCUGUGGAUUCUCUUGGCUUAGAAUUUAAACCCCUAUCACUACCCCUCCCAGCUCGAUUGAUUAGAAAACUGGGGCAGUGAUAUCAGAGUGGAAUGAGAGAAAACCAAGAAAUCAUCCAUUACAAACAUUGUCCAUAAAGUCUGCUCCUAAUUUGAAUACAAAGUGUUUUAAUAAGCAAGAAUUUGACCACUGCUGGAGUUCCCUUGGUGGCGCAGUGGAAAUGAAUCCAACUAAAAAGUAUGUGGUUGCGGGUUCAAUCCCUGGCCUCCAUCAGUGGGUUAAGGAUCUGCUGUUGCCAUGAGCCGUGGUAUAGGUCACAGACUUGGCUCGAAUCUGAUGUGGCUGUGGUGUAGGCCGGCAGUUGUAGCUCUGAUUGGACCCCUAACCUGGAAACCUCCAUAUGCUGCAGGUGUGGCCCUUAAAAGCAAAAAAAAAAAAAAAAAAAAA
rnacentral:lncRNA from 1 species